AUUGAACGCUGGCGGCAUGCCUUACACAUGCAAGUCGAACGGCAGCACGGGUGCUUGCACCUGGUGGCGAGUGGCGAACGGGUGAGUAAUAUAUCGGAACGUACCUUAUCGUGGGGGAUAACGCAGCGAAAGCUGCGCUAAUACCGCAUACGAUCUACGGAUGAAAGCAGGGGACCGCAAGGCCUUGCGCGGACGGAGCGGCCGAUGGCAGAUUAGGUAGUUGGUGGGAUAAAAGCUUACCAAGCCGACGAUCUGUAGCUGGUCUGAGAGGACGACCAGCCACACUGGGACUGAGACACGGCCCAGACUCCUACGGGAGGCAGCAGUGGGGAAUUUUGGACAAUGGGCGAAAGCCUGAUCCAGCCAUGCCGCGUGCAGGAUGAAGGCCUUCGGGUUGUAAACUGCUUUUGUACGGAACGAAAAGACUCUGGUUAAUACCUGGGGUCCAUGACGGUACCGUAAGAAUAAGCACCGGCUAACUACGUG
rnacentral:rRNA from 1 species